GAUGAACGCUGGCGGCGUGCUUAAUACAUGCAAGUCGAGCGAACGGACGCGACGCUUGCUUCUCUGAUGUUAGCGGCGGAGGGGUGAGUAACACGUGUAUAACCUACCUAUAAGACUGGGAUAAUUUCGGGAAAGCGGCGCUUACACCGGAUAAUAUUUUGAACCGCAUGGGUGAAAAGUGAAAGACGGUCUUGCUGUCAGUUAUAGAUGGAUCUGCGCUGCAUUAGCUAGUUGGUAAGGUAACGGGUUAUGAAGGCAACGAGGCAUGUGCGACGGGAGAGGGGGGUCGGCGGCACGGGAGGGGGGCCGCCGUCCAGGCUCCUACGGGAGGCACCAGUCGGGUAUCGUCGGCAACGGGCGAGAACAUGGCGCAACAGCGCCACGUGAGUGAUAACGGUCUUCGGUUCGUAAAGCUCUGUUAUUAGGGGAGAACAUCUUUCUAAGUAACUGAGCACAUCUUGACGGUACCUAGUAAGAAAGCCACGGCUAACUACGUG
rnacentral:rRNA from 1 species